rnacentral:rRNA from 1 species
AUUGAACGCUGGCGGCAGGCUUAACACAUGCAAGUCGAGCGGGGACUUCGGUCCUAGCGGCGAACGGGUGAGGAAUGCUUGGGAAUCUGCCCAGUAGCGGGGGAUAACGUUUCGAAAGGAGCGCUAAUACCGCAUACGCCCUACGGGGGAAAGGGGGGGAUCUUCGGACCUCUCACUAUUGGAUGAGCCCAAGUCGGAUUAGCUAGGUGGUGGGGUAAAGGCCUACCAAGGCGACGAUCCGUAGCUGGUCUGAGAGGAUGAUCAGCCACACUGGAAAUGAGCAUCGUGCCACACUCCGACGGGAGGCAGCAGUGGGGAAUAUUGGACAAUGGGCGAAAGCCUGAUCCAGCCAGGCCGCGUGUGUGAAGAAGGCCUUCGGGUUGUAAAGCACUUUAAGCGAGGAGGAAUGGCUCUGGGUUAAUACCCUUGAGCAGUGACGUUACUCGCAGAAUAAGCACCGGCUAACUCUGUGCCAGCCGCCGCAGUAA